CAUCUGCGAAAUCUGGAGCACAUCUUGGGAAAGUGUGAUCUGCAGAUCAUCAGAGAAGUUUUCUGCUGUGCGUAAAUGACUACUGAAGUGUUUGAUUUUGCUGUAUAAAAUAGUGUUAGAUAUGUAAAUGUAUGUGGGCUGAAUCAUGUGUAAUAAAUGUCAUAUGCUGAGUGAUACACUGUCCCAGGCACGUAAUAAGUGUCACAUACAUGAUCUCAUUUAACCUUCACAAUAAUCCUGCGAGAUGGGCAUUAUUCUUCCUAUUUGAUGAUAAACUGGGCUUGGAAGAGCUUAAGUAACUUAUCCAAGAUCACACAAUUAAUACAGAACAAAGCCGAGAUUCAAAUCCAGGACUCAAAUCCAGCUCAAUCUGUCUCCUAAACCCACAUCUUUCUCCUUAUACUCCACUGCCUCCUUAGCAACACAGUAAUAAUUACAGUGGAAUCUCACCUUCUGUGGGGUUAGGUUCUAAAGUUAAGUGCAAUCAAAGGUAAAUUAGAAAAAACCUAAGUCACUGAUAAAGUAUAGUUAGUUAUACAAGGUUUUGGGCAUAUAACCCUGCCCCGUAUUAUGUUUGUAUAAGUAUAUAACGUUGUGUAUGUGUAUGUAAAAUAUAAUUUUACAGCAUUUUUAUUUUUAAGUAUGCAAAAGAGACAGAACUUGUUUAGUUGAAUUCAUGUAAGUUAAACACCUGUAUAAUGUCUCUCUACACAUGCAUACCUCUAAAUGUGUGCCAGACUAACAGUGGUAACAUCUUACAGAGUUUUACAGCUUUAGAACCAGAGGGAACUUCUAUGGUCAAGUGGUCUGUGUUACAUUUGACAGAAUUGAGGCACAAAGAGGCUGUCCCUUGCCCAACUUCACUGUCUACCUUCAUUUCCAACAAGCUUUGGGAGCCUGUGUGUCUGCUCACAGCUAGGAGGAAAUCAGAGGAAGGCCAGUUCUCCUUACUUUUUGCCUGUUGUGGCCCAGCUAACCCAAUAAAUGAAAUUCAGGUUGCUGUGAGAUGGUCAAGGUCUGGGCUUUACAUCUGGCAGGGAGACAGCUCCUUUCUGAGGAUGACAGCUGCAGCUUCAGCUCUACCUGGGAGCUGUCUCCCCAUGGGGAGGAUGUUCAGAGCCAGCUGUCUUUUCUGUGUGCAGUUCCUGGGAUUGUUCAAACUGGUAGAAGCUGAGAGAGCCCAAGGGAAGGAAAUCUGCAGCUAUAGAGCCCAACAUGCCUUCUACACACACACACACACACACACACAAACACACACACACACACACACACACACACACACACACGCCCUCAUUCCUUUAAAACAGAAAGAAGCCAGAACAUGUGAUGUGGUCAGCUGUUUGGAUUCUUAGAGAGUGUUGAGUCUAAGUAAUGGGGCAAGUUGUGGGGAGGGCACUCAUGGUUUUGGUGGGGAGGGCAGGGACCAUUCCAGCUCUAAUCAGAAGGAUAAAGGAAGUAAGCAGACCAGCAGACCUGGCCUCCGGCAUGUGAAACAGCAUCCACAUGCCCCCCUCCCGAUGUCCUAUCAGAUCUCAUUAACCCUCUCCCAUUUCAUUAUCCAGGCACCGCCUCCUUACCUGCCUUGAUUAUCUCAGCUAGCUGCCAGGGUUGAUAAGAAAUCCGUCCCAAAAUGGCAGAGGGCUAACAGAUUAAGGGGUUCCCUCUCAGGGACUUAGCCCUUCAGGUGGGCUGUCUCACAGUUCCCAAUUCUUCCAGAGCCAAAGGAAAGCCACAGAAGCAUGAAGUGUCAGGAAGAUUAGACAGACAUUUCUGGGCCACAAGCCUGUGUGAUGCUUUUCAGAUCAAAACCCAGGUCGUGCCUGCUAUGUUUGUAGGAAGGAGGGAGUCUGGGUGGGAAAUUAGAGAAAGUACAGCACCCUCUGGCCUGAAGAACCUUUCAUCCCUGAACUUGGAGGUGUAAGCUGCCCUUCUGAAACACAAAUCCUUAUCUACUCUCAUUUUCCAAAUGUUUUGUGUUUCUAUAUGAAAAUCUUUAGAUUUGCUGAACCACUGGGCCCCAAAAAUAUGGCCCAGGUCACUCAAACCUAUAUAUUUUCUUCCUAUGAUUUUCCUCAGGGCAAUUCAUGUCAUCACAGGUGGCCCCACCCCCCAAAGCCUUCACCUGAAGGUAUUGCAAGCCAACUUUCCAGUUAUUUGUUAAAAAUAAAAUGAUCCUUAAAUGAUGUGAUGGUCAGCCAAGAUACUAGAGUUGUUAGCUUUCAUCGGACAAAAGGACUUUCAGUGUCAGCUACGGGUAUCAAACUCCCUGGGAACUUGUUAGCAUGCCAAUCCUGGGCUGAGAAUAUGAUUUUAAGGGGAUUGAUGCUUUAGAAUUUCUGGACUAAAGGUUGCUGUUUCUCUUGAAGUGGCAACUCCAUUUGAGUGGCAGGUUAUCCUGUCUGUCAUUACCUGGAGAAUUAUACAGAAAUCUUCUGCAUAGCAAGAAGUCCCACCACACUCAGGGCAUUGGGGAAAUAGGGUGGUGGCAAGCCUAUGUUCAGUUAGGGGGAUCCCUGCCCUGUGCUGCCGGAGGAAGUGCCCUGUGCUGCAAUGAGGAAGUUCACUGCUGUCUUUCUCAGAAACUCAGACCAACAUGAAAAUAGGACUCCUGAACUUAGAGCCUAUGUUUUGUCCACAAGAUUAUCCAAUCUGCAACAAGCACCAGAACUUGUCUGAGAUCCUGAAAUCCAGAGAUCCUAGCCAGCUGGGCAUAUACCAAGCUCUAGCAUAGAAGAGAGGCCGGCUACUCAGCCAGGGCACAUGGCCCUGGGGCAGCCUGGCCCUGGACAGGUGGAGCCAACCUCUCCAAGAACUUUCCAACACUCCACCGUUUUCUGUUUACCCCAGAGGCAUAUUAGACUGACUGAGACAUCCCUGAGAACACAGGGAAGCUUCAACUACCUAAGACUGAAAUCAUGAUCAUCAUCAUUAUCUGGUUCUAAACAAAAUCAUCCUAGGAGGCAGCAUGCCCUUGUACAAAUUUCAAUUCUGAUACAAAUAGCUGUGUGGCGUUAGGCAGAUUCCCUCUCUGUGCUUACAGUUCCUCAUCUAUAAAACAGAGUUAAUAAAAGAACCCCAAUCCCGGCACUUUGGGAGGCCGAGGCAGGCAAAUCACGAGGUCAAGAGAUUGAGACCAUCCUGGCCAACGUGGUGAAACUCUAUCUCUACUGAAAAUACAAAAAUUAGCUGGGCAUGCUGGUGCGCACCUGAAGUUCCCAGCUACUCGGGAGGCUGAGGCAGGAGAAUCGCUCAAACCCAGGAGGCGGAGGUUGCAGUGAGCCGAGAUCGUGCCACUGCACUCCAGCCUGGUGACAGAGUGAGACUCUGUCUCAAAAAAAAAGAAGAAUCCGUCUCUUAGGUUCGUUGUAAGAAUUAAAUGAGACAAUGUUUACCAAAUUCUUAACAGAGUCUGGAAUAUAAUAAGUGUUCUGUAGACAGGGCCACAGCUAGCAUGCAGGGUGUCUUUGUGGUAAUUGGAGAGGGGUGUGCUCAUUUGGGUAGACACAUUAGAAAAAGAUGUCCCUUCCUCUGGGCUGGCUCAGGCUGGUGCCUGACUUGGGAAGCAGAGUUCCUCCCUCGGCUGGCCACCCUUUGGCUGGUCACAACCCACAAAACUGAAGGUGGAGGCCCUGUCCGUACAUGUUUGCUAUGGUAAGUACCAACAGUUCUUGCAGACGGACAACUGUGUGCGCUCUCACUGUGGAGGCCCCCUUGGAGGAGGUAGCUGACUCUCACUUCUCAGAACCACAGUGCUAGGCUCAGCAGAGUCUCAUCUUGAUAAACUUCUGUGAGAACAAAGGCAUGGGGACACACUGAAUUUUCCUUUUCUGAGCUUGAAACCAGCUGAUCAUGCUUCCUGUUUCUCUAAGGGCUUCCCUGACAUAGACGACUUGCUUCUUUCAAAUUUGGUCAUCGCCCUCUUGCCUUCCUGUGUGAGUCAGCGUGGCUGCCCUUGUGCACGCCAGGCUCCUGUCUGUGCUCCGGGGCCUGUUUCCUGGCCUCCCCAGGUAAUUCCCCUCGGCCAAGGGUGAGCGUCCCCGCCCACGUCCCCCCCUCUGCCUGGAGACGUGCGUGCGCUGGGGACAUGAGUCACAGCAGCCCGCCCAUCCUCUGCAUCUGAAACUAUUAUUGGAAUGCCUCUGCGCACAGCACACGCCUGCUUCCCAGAUUUCACAGGCCCCUGCUCAGGGAUCUGCAAACCACAUUACUCAGCCCGAGAUUCCACGCGGGUGAUCACGAGGUGGUUUGCUCUAAGCUGGAAUUUUUCUAAGAAAGUAGGUUUCUUUAAGCCAGGCAUUCUGCAUUCUUCAAAAAGCAUCAACCACAUGUCUCCAGCGAGCGCCUAGCAAUGUGCCUGCCUUAAUGGAUGAGGAAACUGAGGCACAAAAAGGUGAAGUCCUGAGCUCACAGUCAUGCAACCAGCAGGUGGUGAAACACACCUCCGAGCUGCCUGCCUCCUAAGCAUCAAGCUUUGUGGCCUAGGAUCUACUUCAUGCUCCAAAUAUUCAUGGACCUUCCCAGGACCUCAACAAAACAAAACCAUGAAGAAAAACCUUGACAUGAACCCCCAAAAAAACCAGUCAGCAAUAUUUUAAGUUAAAUUUUGAAACAAAUCCAAACGGGUUCCUCCCCAUAAAUCUACCAGUAAAUUGUGCAGAAUCAGAACUGAAGCCAUGCCCUUUCUUAAAGUAUUGAAUUAGAAUAAAUGAGAACAUCUAAAUAUUUUCCAAAUUCAUAUUCCAGUUAUAAUA